AGUCGUAACAAGGUUUCCGUAGGUGAACCUGCGGAAGGAUCAUUAAAGAGGUGGCCUGACGGCCCUGAAAUCGGACAAGCCGGUCGGAUCGAGAGAUCCCCACGGCCCCGAGAACCCUGCGGAGAAGCCACAGUUGCCUCGGCGGCAGGGAGAAGGCGUUCGCGUCUUCCCCCCUCCGCCGGAGGAUCCAGACCUUGCAAACUCUUGCCAACGAGACCGGUCUCAGCGCCGGGCGUCAGCGAGGGGAGGAGGCCGCGCGCGCUCGCCCUGCGGGACGUGCGAACCUCUUCUUUGACCACGUCCGAAACAGAACAAACUUGAAAUUUGAAAAUCAAAACCUUUGACGACGGAUCUCUUGGUUCUG
rnacentral:misc_RNA from 1 species